CCAUACAAACUCACGCGCCUUUGGUGGGGGGAACACGGCCCAUGCCAAGUCGCACGCCUUCGGUGGGAGUGAGGGGGACAUUUUCUUUCGCGUAAAAAAUGCUAUAAGAAUACACUAUACGCUGACGUGAAUUCUUCACUGUGUGAUGUCCCCCCCCCCCCCACCCCGAUACGUGCAGUACUACCAUACAGUCGCUAGAUGCUACCACUAUAGGCCGUAGAUAUUACUGCAGAGCGGCCGGGGAGAUCGUGGCUGGUGGGGGGGGUCAGGGGUAGCAGCUAGGCCUCGGCAAGGCAAGGUAAUUUACCCUUUUUACCGGGUAAAAGGGUAAAGGUGUCGACAUGCCAAGGGGUAAGGUAAAGGGUAACAGGGUAAAGGUAGCACGGAAGGAUUACCCAGUAGGGUAAAAGUAGUGCGAAGUAUUACCCGGUAAACACGGUGCCUUGUUUACCGCUAGAAGCUCUGUAGCGCAGUCCGUGGCCUCCAUUUAAAAUUGGAAUCAUCGAGAGUAUUCUAUAUUAAUAAAACGCUCUACCUAGCAUUUGCCUGUUAUAAACCUUUUUCAUGUGUAGUAGUACCCCAGUAAUUACCCUGUAAUCAGGUAAUUUGUAUGGGGUAAGGGUAAAAGGUAAGGUAAAGGUAGGCUCGUUGUUUCAACCUUUUACCUUACCUUGCCGAGGCCUAGUAGCAGCCCAACCCCAGCCUGCCAAGGUGCCACCUCGGCCGGCUGGACAAUCUAGGCGAGGCCGGAGGCUCUGCACGGGACUCGGCCUCACCACGCCACUCUGUCAGCCGGCAACGCGCGUCCGCACGCGUUCACGACAAACGGAGACCAACGCACACUUCCAGCCGCCUCGGCACUCGACAGCUUCAAGAUUCCGCAGCUGCCGCGCAGUCGACACGCAGCCUCCAAGCUCGGCCCUGGCAGUCUCCCAUCAUCUGCCCCGCAGCUCUUCCCCUUGGUCGCCCAUCACAGCUGAAGUUGACCAAAUAAAGUACAAAACUUGA